rnacentral:tRNA from 1 species
GCGAGAGUGGCGGAAUCGGCAGACGCGCUGGCUUUAGGUGCCAGUGUCCGUAAGGACGUGGGGGUUCGAGUCCCCCCUCUCGCA